rnacentral:misc_RNA from 1 species
UUAAAAUUGAGAAAAAUACAACAAAAUCACUAGACAAGUUACAUGAAUCAAAGCAAACAAAUGCCCCAACUCCUCUAAGUAGUAUAAUUACCUCAGACGUCAGCCAACUCAUGUAUCCUUGGCAAUCACUGUCACCCCUCCGUCAUUGGUAGCAACAAUAACAGACGUCGCCAAACCAAGAAACAUCCCGUGCUCGACCACCCCAGCAAG